UACGGAGGGUGCAAGCGUUAUCCGGAUUCACUGGGUUUAAAGGGUGUGUAGGCGGGCUUUUAAGUCAGUGGUGAAAUCUCCGGGCUCAACCCGGAAACUGCCAUUGAUACUAUUAGUCUUGAAUUUUGUUGAGGUAGGCGGAAUAAGUCAUGUAGCGGUGAAAUGCUUAGAUAUGACUUAGAACACCAAUUGCGAAGGCAGCUUGCUAAACAAACAUUGACGCUGAGGCACGAAAGCGUGGGGAUCAAACAGG
rnacentral:rRNA from 1 species